UUAGAGAAGGCAAGCUACUACGUGAUUGGGAUAGAGAAGACGAUGCAAGAUUAGCAAAGAGAAUGCUCAUUGAGGUAUAUUGCUGUAGACUACAAAAAGCUCAACCAUUAGGCCAUACAUUGUGGCCAGCAAUGGCGUGCACAAUGCCUGUUAGGAUGGAUACCAUAUCACAAUCCAAAUAACAAAAAUUCUCUUAGACAGCAACCCUAAUAGAAGUCUGUGGUAGCUAUGUGCUUGAGAGUUGUCUAAUGACAAUCGAGUUGAACGCAGUGGCCAAAUACGAGUAGUCCGCUGAGCAGCUGCAAACUACGAGGAUUUUUGCCUAGUAGAAAAGAAGCAGUGCAAUUUUGUCAACACGAUGACCAGCCUUGGCAAACCACGAAACCCCCGGUACGGAGACUGCAAGUCGUUAUCUACACUUUGAGCAGAUGAUGACUGCAUCGACGUUUAAUCCGGAAUGAGUUUUGGUUACUCGUCGUUAAGGAGCCAUUGCAGCAUGUGAACAGUUGACAAUUUGGAAAUUCGAAGAAGCAUUUCAAUGACAACAACUGCAUCAUGAUGCUAUGAUUCCUUGACGUACAAAGUCUUUUUUUUCUCAACAAUCAACUGCGACUUCUCAUCGUCGAAUGAAAACUAGCUCGGUUUGUG